UGGGCGUAAAGCGCGCGCAGGCGGUCCUUUAAGUCUGAUGUGAAAGCCCACGGCUCAACCGUGGAGGGUCAUUGGAAACUGGGGGACUUGAGUGCAGAAGAGGAGAGUGGAACUCCACGUGUAGCGGUGAAAUGCGUAGAGAUGUGGAGGAACACCAGUGGCGAAGGCGACUCUCUGGUCUGUAACUGACGCUGAGGCGCGAAAGCGUGGGGAGCGAACAGGAUUAGAUACCCUGGUAGUCCACGCCGUAAACGAUGAGUGCUAAGUGUUAGAGGGUUUCCGCCCUUUAGUGCUGCAGCAAACGCAUUAAGCACUCCGCCUGGGGAGUACGGCCGCAAGGCUGAAACUCAAAGGAAUUGACGGGGGCCCGCACAAGCGGUGGAGCAUGUGGUUUAAUUCGAAGCAACGCGAAGAACCUUACCAGGUCUUGACAUCCUUAUGCCUUCUCUGGAGACAGAGCGUUCCCUUCGGGGACAUAAGUGACAGGUGGUGCAUGGUUGUCGUCAGCUCGUGUCGUGAGAUGUUGGGUUAAGUCCCGCAACGAGCGCAACCCUUGUCCUUAGUUGCCAGCAUUCAGUUGGGCACUCUAAGGAGACUGCCGGUGACAAACCGGAGGAAGGUGGGGAUGACGUCAAAUCAUCAUGCCCCUUAUGACCUGGGCUACACACGUGCUACAAUGGAUAGAACAAAGGGCAGCGAAGCCGCGAGGUCAAGCAAAUCCCAUAAAUCUAUUCUCAGUUCGGAUUGCAGGCUGCAACUCGCCUGCAUGAAGCCGGAAUCGCUAGUAAUCGCGGAUCAGCAU
rnacentral:rRNA from 1 species